rfam:Triticum urartu cultivar G1812 contig510105, whole genome shotgun sequence.
AUUCUACUCCCUCCAUUACACAAUACAUGCCUUCUAUUUGUCAAAAUAUAUAUGUAUCUAGACAUGUCUUACUAUAUAGGUACAUCCAUUUUUGGACAAAUGGAAGUCAAGUAUUUUGGAACGGAGGGAGUACACA